UGGGGAAUUUCGGACAAUGGGCGAAAGCCUGAUCCAGCAAUGCCGCGUGUGUGAAGAAGGCCUUCGGGUUGUAAAGCACUUUUGUCCGGAAAGAAAUCCUUGGCUCUAAUACAGUCGGGGGAUGACGGUACCGGAAGAAUAAGCACCGGCUAACUACGUGCCAGCAGCCGCGGUAAUACGUAGGGUGCAAGCGUUAAUCGGAAUUACUGGGCGUAAAGCGUGCGCAGGCGGUUUGCUAAGACCGAUGUGAAAUCCCCGGGCUCAACCUGGGAACUGCAUUGGUGACUGGCAGGCUAGAGUAUGGCAGAGGGGGGUAGAAUUCCACGUGUAGCAGUGAAAUGCGUAGAGAUGUGGAGGAAUACCGAUGGCGAAGGCAGCCCCCUGGGCCAAUACUGACGCUCAUGCACGAAAGCGUGGGGAGCAAACAGGAUUAGAUGCCCUGGUAGUCCACGCCCUAAACGAUGUCAACUAGUUGUUGGGGAUUCAUUUCCUUAGUAACGUAGCUAACGUGUGAAGUUGACCGCCUGGGGAGUACGGUCGCAAGAUUAAAACUCAAAGGAAUUGACGGGGUCAUAGCUGUUUCCU
rnacentral:rRNA from 1 species